rnacentral:siRNA from 1 species
AUGCUCGUUCGAAUGUUUGCUU